rnacentral:rRNA from 1 species
AACGAACGCUGGCGGCAUGCCUAACACAUGCAAGUCGAACGAGACCUUCGGGUCUAGUGGCGCACGGGUGCGUAACGCGUGGGAACCUGCCCUUAGGUUCGGAAUAACUCCCCGAAAGGGGUGCUAAUACCGGAUAAUGUCUUCGGACCAAAGAUUUAUCGCCUUUGGAUGGGCCCGCGUUGGAUUAGCUAGUUGGUAGGGUAAAAGCCUACCAAGGCGACGAGCCAUAGCUGGUCUGAGAGGAGGAUCAGCCACACUGGGACUGAGACACGGCCCAGACUCCUACGGGAGGCAGCAGUGGGGAAUAUUAGACAAAGUGCGAAAGCCUGAUCCAGCAAUGCCGCGUGAGUGAUGAAGGCCUUAGGGUUGUAUAGCUCUGUUACCCGUGAUGAUAAUGACAGUACCGGGAGAAUAAGCUCGGGCUAACUCCGUG